rnacentral:rRNA from 1 species
UACGGAGGGUGCAAGCGUUAAUCGGAAUUACUGGGCGUAAAGCGCACGCAGGCGGUCUGUCAAGUCGGAUGUGAAAUCCCCGGGCUCAACCUGGGAAUUGCAUUCGAAACUGGCAGGCUAGAGUCUUGUAGAGGGGGGGUAGAAUUCCAGGUGUAGCGGUGAAAUGCGUAGAGAUCUGGAGGAAUACCGGUGGCGAAGGCGGCCCCCUGGACAAAGACUGACGCUCAGGUGCGAAAGCGUGGGGAGC